CCUACGGGCGGCAGCAGUGAGGAAUAUUGGUCAAUGGACGCAAGUCUGAACCAGCCAUGCCGCGUGCAGGAAGACGGCUCUAUGAGUUGUAAACUGCUUUUGUACGAGGGUAAACGCAGAUACGUGUAUAUGUCUGCAAGUAUCGUACGAAUAAGGAUCGGCUAACUCCGUGCCAGCAGCCGCGGUAAUACGGAGGAUUCAAGCGUUAUCCGGAUUUAUUGGGUUUAAAGGGUGCGUAGGCGGUCGGAUAAGUUAGAGGUGAAAUCCCGAGGCUCAACUUCGGAAUUGCCUCUGAUACUGUUCGGCUAGAGAGUGGUUGCGGUAGGCGGAAUGUAUGGUGUAGCGGUGAAAUGCUUAGAGAUCAUACAGAACACCGAUUGCGAAGGCAGCUUACCGAGCUACUUCUGACGUUGAGGCACGAAAGCGUGGGGAGCGAACAGGAUUAGAUACCCCAGUAGUC
rnacentral:rRNA from 1 species